UACGUAGGUGGCAAGCGUUGUCCGGAUUUACUGGGCGUAAAGGGCGUGCAGGCGGUUUGUUAAGUGCAGGGUGAAAGCUCCCGGCUCAACUGGGAGAGGUCCUUGCAUACUGGCAGACUUGAGGGAGGCAGAGGAAAGUGGAAUUCCCGGUGUAGUGGUGAUAUGCGUAGAUAUCGGGAGGAACACCUGUGGCGAAGGCGGCUCACUGGCCCGGUACUGACGCUGAGGCGCGAAAGCGUGGGGAGCAAACAGG
rnacentral:rRNA from 1 species